rnacentral:lncRNA from 1 species
GCAAAUGAGAGGAAUAAGCGCAAUGAUAGGCCCCGCAAUACUGAUAGGUCAAGAAACUUUGAGAGGAGGAGGGAAAACAUGCAAAAUAGAGAUUUUCCAAAUCCUGCAACUGGACCUAACAUGAGUGCACCAGCUCCAGGUGGUAUGCCUCCCAACAACUUUAAUCCCAGCAUGCCUCCUCACAACCGCCAAGGCGAUUAUCCAGGAGGACCACCACCUCCGAACAAUUUUAACAGACCACCACCGCCACCACCGCACAACUACAGCGGACCACCACCACCACCACCACACAACUUCAGCGGACCACCACCACCACCACCACACAACUUCAGCGGACCACCACCACCACCACCGCACAACUUCAACGGACCACCACCACCACCACCGCACAACUUCAACGGACCACCACCACCACCGUACAACUUCAACGGGCCACCACCUCCUCCACCAAACAACUUCAACGGACCACCACCUCCUCCACCGAACAACUUCAACGGACCACCACCACGCAACUAUGCUUCAGCAUCACCAAAUCACGGAGGAGGAGGAGGAGGAGCACCCCACAACUAUGGGGGGCCACAGGAAAACAACUAUUGGGGAGCACAGCAGCCAAACAACUAUGGUGGACCUUCAAACUCUGGCCGGGGACCUGCAUAGAACAACUACUAUGAAGGGGUAAAAAAAGGCUAAUGGUGGUGGAUGGUCUAAUAUGUGCAUAAAAAUCAAGAAGAAUAGUCUAGGCGGUCAGGGUAGUCUAACGGUGGUGGCUGGUCACUGCAUUUUCGUUUUGGUGCUACAAACGAUGAGUUUAAUUUUGCUUUAUGAGUCGGCAUUUGUUUAAAAUCUGUUUAAGUCUUGUGUACAAUUUAAUAUAUUCAUGAGAUGGUGUAUCGUUUAUAAUGUUGUCUUUGUUCUGAAGUUGGCAAUGAUAUUGUCUCUUUUGGCCAUAUCUCUUUUAAGCUUGCAACAUACAUGUGUAUUUAAUGUAUGUGUAGUUAAAAUAAAGUCAGAGAUGUAAAAUUAUUUAAUAAUUUUAAAAUGGAUCAAAAUUAUAAGUAAAUUCAUACCAAGAGAAAGGAAGGAAAGACAAAAGAAAAAUAGAUCCUCCUUAUAUUUAUGAAAAUUUAUAUUAGGAAUGAAUUUAAUUUUACGUUUUAAAAAUAUAAUAAUAAAUAUUUAAUUAUUAUAUUAGCAAAAGCAAAUCUUUAAACCCUUAAACCCUUUCAAAACCCUUUUUCUUUUUUCAUUUUUUGUCUUUUUUGUUUCAACCUUCUCCCAUGGCGACUCAGCUCUUCUCUUUGUUUUCACGUUCCUUUCUCACUCCACCGGAGUCCCCCAUCUCCGUCUCUUCUCACUCCUCUUCCUCCCUUCUCCGCCGCCUCCCUCCCCUCGCUGCUAUACUCACCGCUGAUUUCCCGUCACUCUGCUGCACCGAGCGUGAGGAACUUCUCUACCCGUUCCACUUCUUCGUCUAUCAAAGAUCCCAAUCCUAACUGGUCUAAUCGACCACUCAUGGAGACCAUAUUGCUUGAUGGCUGUGAUUUUGAACACUGGCUCGUUGUCAUGGAGAACAACUCACGAGGGAUGAGAUUAUCGACAGCUAUAUAAAAACGCUUGCCAUUGUUGUCUGAAGGUAAAUUCUCAUUUUCGUAUAUUGUAUUGAAUCUCUCUCUCUCUCUUUCCUCCCAACGUUGGGCUAUCCUGAAUCUGAUGAUUGCAUUUAUUCGUGUCUCUUCUGUGUCUUUUUUUCUUCGUUGUGUUGUUCUUGGCUAUGUCUUUGUUUUGUAUUGAUGAUAUGAAGCUGUACCUUUUCCUCUUCAGAGCUGCCUAAGGUUCGUUGGGUCUUACCUGAUUCAUACUUGGACGUUAAGAAUAAAGAUUACGGAGGUUAUUCCUGACCCCAUUAAGUAUGCAAAUAAUCAUUUUAUCUCUUUCGGUGUCUAAUUUUACAGUCCUCACUCUUUAGUUUUGAAAAGAGGUCAGUCGUUCUGAAGAAGGCUUUAUUUCAAUUUAAAGCUACUAGAAGUUAAAAUUUUCAUAAUAUCAUAUGUCUUGUUCAUUAUACAUUUUUCUCAGAAAAGAAGUUUGAAAUACGUCAUUCAAAGAUAGUAAGUAGCUUUUCUCUUUACAAAAAUGUAGACUAUUGAGGGGAUAGAAUGUUAGCUACUUACUUGAAAAGUUGAAGCUCUUGUAUUGUAUGAUGGUUGAGGAUCCUGACUCAUUCAGGUCACAUUCCUAAGAUGAUAGAAAGUUUAAAAACUUAUCUAAGAUUGCAAUGCACUCUUGAGCAGACUGUCAAUGCACUCUUAAUUUGAAAGCCAGUAUCUUUUUGUUGUAGUGUCUCCCUUGUUUUGGUUCACUUAAGGCUACAACUAUUUUACCUUAUUUUGGUGUUGUACAGAACUGUUAUCUGACUUUCCGUGUAUUUUUUCCCUUUGGCAGGGGGGCCUUUUAUAAACGGACAAGCUGCUCCAUAUGACUCGAAGUACCACGAAGAAUGGAUUAGAAACAAUGCUAAAGCAAAUAGUAGGCGUGAUGUUAAUGGUAGGCGCAAUUUCGAUAGGUCAAGAAACUUUGAGAAGAGGGAAAACAUGCAGAAUGGAGAAUUUCCAAAUAAUGUUUCAGCGAGUCAACCUACUGGACCGAAAUUGAGUCCACCAGCUCCAAGUAGUACACCCCUCCCAACAACUUUAGUCCUAGCAUGCCUCCUCACAACCAUGCUGGAAUACCCCAAGGCAACUAUCCGGGAGGAUAUCCGAACAAUUUUAACAGACCACUGCCUCCGCCACCACCAUACAACUUCAACAGCCCACCACCACCUCCUCACAACUUUAACAGGCCACCACCGCAAAACAACUUUAACGGACCACCACCACCAUCAAACCCUGGGGGAGCACCGCCAAAGCAACUAUUGGGGUGCACCACAGCCAAACUUCAGCAGGCCGCCUGCACAGAACAACUGUGGAGGGAUGCAACCUAACGCUGGUGGAUGGUCUAAUAAUG